rnacentral:rRNA from 1 species
UACGUAGGAUGCAAGCGUUGUCCGGAAUUAUUGGGCGUAAAGAGCUCGUAGGCGGUUUGUCGCGUCUGCUGUGAAAACGCGAGACUCAACCUCGCGCCUGCAGUGGGUACGGGCAGACUAGAGUGCGGUAGGGGAGAUUGGAAUUCCUGGUGUAGCGGUGGAAUGCGCAGAUAUCAGGAGGAACACCAGCGGCGAAGGCGGCACUCUGGGCUGGAAUUGACGCUGAGGAGCGAAAGCGUGGGGAGCGAACAGG